GAUGAACGCUGGCGGCGUGCCUAAUACAUGCCAGUCGAGCGAACGGACGAGAAGCUUGCUUCUCUGAUGUUAGCGGCGGACGAGUGAGUAACACGUGGAUAACCUACCUAUAAGACUGGGAUAACUUCGGGAAACCGGAGCUAAUACCGGAUAAUAUUUUGAACCGCAUGGUUCAAAAGUGAAAGACGGUCUUGCUGUCACUUAUAGAUGGAUCCGCGCUGCAUUAGCUAGUUGGUAAGGUAACGGCUUACCAAGGCAACGAUGCAUAGCCGACCUGAGAGGGUGAUCGGCCACACUGGAACUGAGACACGGUCCAGACUCCUACGGGAGGCAGCAGUAGGGAAUCUUCCGCAAUGGGCGAAAGCCUGACGGAGCAACGCCGCGUGAGUGAUGAAGGUCUUCGGAUCGUAAAACUCUGUUAUUAGGGAAGAACAUAUGUGUAAGUAACUGUGCACAUCUUGACGGUACCUAAUCAGAAAGCCACGGCUAACUACGUG
rnacentral:rRNA from 1 species